rnacentral:miRNA from 1 species
GGGAUGUUGUCUGGCUCGACA